rnacentral:lncRNA from 1 species
CAGACAGCAGAACCUUUCGGAUAACCAACUCCUAUUGGAACAGGCCAAUCUGUUUUGGGCUUUAUAACUGUGUAAGCAUUUAAGAGUGAAGUUUUCAUCAGUGAGCCUAAUCAGCAGUCUACUAGUUUCCCAAGAAUACCAAAGCAACAUAUUUGCAGUCAAUGACACAUUAGAAUAGCCUUAUCUGGAUGUCACCAAAGCACGGCCACACUACCCCUGUCCAAUAAGGGUCACAGAUGCUUCACCAGCCUUAGCUUGAUAGAAAAGGCAUUAUGUGCCACUGAGGCUCCCAUGGAAAAGCUGGAUCUACAGGCACCCACCAAACUGGACAAUUUGAUCCUUUAAGGCAGGGGCAGCUGCCAAGAUCCCAAAUUUGGCUGUGGCAGCAAAAGGGGAUGGGAAACAGACACAGGGCUGGGAAACUUCCCCUUUCCAAGAAUCAGACUGAUUGUUUGAUGAGUGGACAGGUGCUAUAACCCAUGCCCUUGUCAGGUAACUUUCAUGAAUCAUCUGAGGAGCAGGGCUGCCUGUGUAUGCCUGUGUCCCGUGGGCAGUCACACCCAUCUCUAAAAUGUAGUCUUCAGAGGGUUGGCCGAAGGUGAAUAUGGUUUCAGGCCAAAAGAGGAUAGUCACCCUUACUACAGAGGGAGUGAAACUCCACCCAAAAGAGAUUAAACCCCACCCACCCAGGCAAACAAACCACCCACCAACAGUAUUCUUAUCUUCUCUAGACAGAGUUUCAGGGUUUGGUUUUUUUUAUUGAGACUGCAUUCUUUUAAAAAGUUAUUUAUUAAGAAAAUAUGUUUACUGCUUAAAGAACAUUGUAUAAUUUGAACACGUCCAAUAAGGAGUAAUAUAAGCAAUUUGAGCUAUACAAAUCUAUUUGAGGAUUAGCAAUGUUUAAAGUUCCUGCCGUUUUCAAGUGGGUUGCAACUGAAGAGGUGAUUUAUGGAAUAGUUUCUGCCCAUUAAGUAUUAGCAAAUGGCCUCUCCAUCCACAGAGUACUAAGCAAUAUUCCUGAAGCAAUGAGGUAACAUUUACCAGUAGGUCUUUCUGGGCAAGGAUGCAUUCAAGCAUUUUGACUAAAUCAAAAAAUGUCUGUCACUUAUCCAAGGUCAAAAAACAACAACGAAGGAUAAGGCAAAUCGCUAGUUAAAUGGGUGUCACAUGGCACCUCAUAUGGAACUUUCAGAAAAAAUAGCAGUUGCUUUCAACACAACCCAGUUGUUUACAGGAGUUUAGCUAGCACUGAAAACAAAAAGAAACAAUAGAUUUCUUGGUGUAUUAAUAUCAUUCAGUAAUGUUUUUAGAAUGAUCACUGCUAUCCAUAUAUACCAUUAAAACUCUUUGUAUAUUUGAGCUCAAAAUGAUACUCAGUUUUAUCUCAGUAUUUCUGAUUUAAUUCAGUUCACAGGCUUGGCAAUCAAGAGCUAAAGCUGUAGACCUCACAGUUAGCACCACAAGGCAACUGGCAUAUAAUCUGAAUUUUCAUUUUCUUCUCCCCAUGAGAGAGACCAUGCACUGACAGGAACUUUAGUACAUCGGCUUUCUCCCAGCUCUCCAAUCUAUCUGCUUGCUAUAACUACUUUAUUUGCCUGAACACUCAUUUCCUAUUUACACAGUAUUGAGGUGAAGACCAUCAAGCCUAUGUAUACUGCCCUGAAUUACUAUUGUUCCACAUGACUACUGAAGCAAGGUAGCACUAAGUAUAUUAUAGCUUUUUCAGUGGUUGUUCUAAUACUGUUUUUGUCUUCUUUUAUGCACACUAGGGGAGAAUAGCAUUAGAAUUUGUUAAGAAGAUUACAUGACCAAAGGGUGGGGGAACCAAGCCACUACAAUGUUCAGAGCACUGUAGAAUAUGAUGUUGUUACAAAAGUGGUAAAGUGUGGUUGGUAACCAUUGAAGCAGUAAAUUAUAGUUAUUAUUAUCUCUGUCAGGGUUGGGAGACUAAGCCAGCCAGGCAAGUUGUUAAGUCUUUGGGCUUUUAAAAGCAUUUUUCUUUAAAAAUCGCCCUAGUUGCCAUAUGUCCACCUGGACGCCAUUUUGAAAGUCCAAUUUCUGGACGUGUCCGUGGAAACCCAGACACAUGGCAGCCCUACACAUAAUGUCCUCAGCUGUGAGAUACUCUAUAAUUCUACCCAGUGCUUUUUUCCCUUAAAAAUGUUUAGGGGUACUCUCAUUUUCCUACUCAUAUUGAAAUACUGCCCCUCAAUGAGGCCAAACUUAGAUUCACAAAAUGUUUAGGGGCAUGCGUACCCCCAGGAAAAAAGCACUGAUUCAACCCAAAACAUGGCCAACUCAUAUGCUGCCAAACUCGUGUGAGACAUGCUUCAGUUUAAAAGCUCUACAGUGGUACCUCAGCUUACAAACACCUCGGGUUACAGACACUUCGGGUUACAGACUCCGCUAACCCAGAAGUAGUACCUCGGGUUAAGAACUUAACCUCAGGAUGAGAACAGAAACCGUGCAGCUGCGCGGUGGCAGCGGGAAGCCCCAUUAGCUAAAGUGGUACCUCAGGUUAAGAACGGUUUCAGGUUAAGAACAGACCUCCGGAACAAAUUAAGUUCAUAACCAGAGGUACCACUGUACUGGGUAAAAAGCAAACUGUGAAUGCAUCCACAGUUUCUCCCCACACUUGUGUAUUGUUUCUUUGGAUCAACAGGCAUAAAGUUUCUUCUAAAAUAAUAUGAACCCUUACUUGUAAAUAUUAUUUUAAAGUAAUUAUGCUAAGGUAUUUAUUUUCUAUAUAGCAGUUUCUUUUAGCUAAAAUUGAGCCCUAAAUGUAAGGAGAAUAGCAAAAACUGGCUCCAGUUUGAAAAAUUCUGGAUGAGAAAACUUUUUACAGUAUAUAUGCCUACAUGCUCUAACAGACCAUCAUUUUAAACAGGAUUUUCCAUGCACUUUUUAUAUAAAGAGUUACCAGUAUUUCUGUCGGCAUGAUUGUCAAGAGAGGCUAUCCUUUAGAAGACCAGAAAUAUGUUAUUAAUACAGUGCAAUCAUUUAAGAACAAAAGUAAAAUUUCUGUAUCGAGCUUCUGAACACAGAAGAAACGUUCUUUUGGCAAAGCUAUUGUAAAAAGACAGCUCUUUUCAUGUUUGACUAUCAAUAUCACCCAGAACACAUUUACUUGGAAGUAUAUGCCUUUAAUUCCAGUAGCAUCUUGCCAGCAUCUAAUUUGUCUAAGUCCUGCAAAUCAAUUCUGUACUCUACAAAUACACUAUGAAAAAAGAAUAAAAGCUGUAACAAGAGGUUAAGUUUUGCUGGAUUAAGGAGUUCUAUUUUGCUCCAUUUUUUAAAAGGCUAUUUUCAAAACUUUUCAUUUUUGUCCUUUUGUGCUUCAGUGGUAGGGUAAGAAUCAACUACAAAAUAAACAUUAGCAUGCAUCUAGGCAUCCAGGUUAAUUAAAUAUAAGGCUAGCUUAUAUUAUAUUAUUAUAUGCACACAGAAAGGGCAUCAACCCAGAACCUUAGCAGCACAUCCAACCAAAUGAAUUGCUAAACUCUGACCUGCUUUCUUUGAUUUAAGUAAAUCAUCUCCUCAGUUACACUGAAAGAUCACGGCCACUUCGCACAAUCACACAAAAUUAGCAGUGAAUUCAACAACAAAUGUACAUGGAGUCUGGAAAAUAUUCCACAUGACAUUUUAAAAUAAUUUGAUAUUUUGAAUGUUAUUUCUAAGGAAUUAAUAAGCAAUUCUGUCAGACUAUAGAGCUGUCUUGAUGGAAAAUAUUUAACAUAUUGAUUCAGAUUGCUUCCAACAGCAGUUUAAACUCAAGGUUCAAAUGGAAUUAUAUCUAUCUAUCUAUCUAUCUAUCUAUCUAAUCUACCCACCUACCUAUCUAUCUAUCUACCAUGUGUUAUUCAGAUAGCGAACACAAUCACCCCAAAGCAACGAAAAAGCAAGCAAAUGUCCUAACAGUUUUAAAAGUUUCCCUCUGACUUCCAAUACUUGAGGGCUUUUGAAUUUCCACCUUGCUGCAGUUUAGGAGUUUCUUUAUCAUACUGAUGUAUACACAGAACCAUGGAGGGUAACCCAUCAAAUGUGCAUGGGGAGUGCAUGAGCUGUUUCUAAAGGCAUGCCAAGUCCUAGAACCCUUCUUUGAUUCUUCUUUCCUUCUUUCUUUCCUUCCUUCCUCUCUCUCUCUCUCUCUUACCUGUCCGUAUAAUUAGCUGAUUUAAAGAAAGCAAUAAGGUGGGAUGAAGAGGGACAUGAAGAGCAGUAUUAGGGGAAGCAGGAGGGAGCACAUACAUCUGGGAAAUGAGCAUACUGUUAACCUAUUAGCUAACUGCGGUUUUUACAAACCCCAUUAAAAUAACAAAUAUUGAUUCCAAUUUGCCUAUUAGCAAUUGUGGCCUCUUUAAUGUGAAUUUUUUACCACUUGAGAUUAGGUAUGUUCUAACAAUCUAAUUGUUAAGUUGCAUGUUUACAAUCUUUUUUUUCCAACCCAAACAUUUUCUGAAUGAAAUUUCCAAUUACCACCUGCUGAUUGUCUUCUGGUGUUGUGUUAUUUUUGGUGUAUAUUUUUGCAGUUAUUUUUGCUUUCCUAUACACUAUUCUUUUAUAUCAUAAUGUGAGCAACUUAUAAAUCUUUAAAAAUAAUAUAAUAUUUAAUUCUCAGGUACAACCUGCCGAGGGGACCAAAUUUAAUGUCCUUUCCCCCCCAUGAUCUGAUAAGAGGCAAUGUUUACCCACAAUUUGUAUAUAACAAACUACUCACUUUCCCACAUUCUACUAUAUGUUAUAUGGGAUAUGAGUGGGGUAUAGUCAAAAGAAAUGUGCACUGUGAGAAAAUUAAGGCCGAAGCCAAAUGAAUACCAUAUCAAAAAAAGAACAUGAUUUUUAUUCCCAGUUAUCUAAAUGGCUUUCACUAUAAUCUUAGGUAAAUCAUCUACCUUUCAGCCUUACCUAGUAAAAUGCUUCAAAAACUGAGGACAACAGAAGUGCUAAACGCAGGCAAUUAAUUAUAACUCUUUAAAAAAGCUAUAAAACUCUCACUCUUUGACAGAAGUAAUAUUACACUGAGGCAAUACAGAUCCAUAUUAAUCACAUGGUAACAUGAACCAUUAUGCUUAUCUGCUUAACAUGUUGUGAUUAGAAAGUUUGUUGGGGAGGUUCAAAUGAAAAGGUACUUUAACAAACCUGUACCCCUUGAGAUAGAGUGUAAGCACGGAGAGAUAAGUAAUAAGAUUUGAUUCUCGUAUAUCUGAAAUGUUUUUAUUUAUAAAAUUAAAUUUAUAUAUUUUCUCUCAUUUAAGGAAUUCAUGAACUCAAAUUGCAACUUUCAGCUUAAUUAAAACCUGAAUUCUCACGUUCUUAACCCGUACUAUUCCUAAAUUAGUUAAUGCAAUUAUUCUGCUCUAAUUUUUAAAAAUUGUUAUUAACAUUUAAUUAUCAUGUCCUGUAAUGGUUUAAUUUAUUACAUGAUGAUCACACGGAAUAAUACAUGUUGUGAGGUACAGUAGUCAGUCCCUGGUGGUUAUAAUUCAGAAUUCACUAUAAAUGGCAAGGCAAUAUCCUCCAAUGUCUUUUUUUUUUUUAAAUAAUAUUUAUUACUUUUCCAACAAUUCAAACACACAC